GAUGAACGCUGGCGGCGUGCCUAAUACAUGCAAGUCGAGCGAACGGACGAGAAGCUUGCUUUUCUGAUGUUAGCGGCGGACGGGUGAGCAACACGUGGAUAACCUACCUAUAAGACUGGGAUAACUUCGGGAAACCGGAGCUAAUACCGGAUAAUAUUUUGAACCGCAUGGUUCAAAAGUGAAAGACGGUCUUGCUGUCACUUAUAGAUGGAUCCGCGCUGCAUUAGCUAGUUGGUAAGGUAACGGCUUACCAAGGCAACGAUGCAUAGCCGACCUGAGAGGGUGAUCGGCCACACUGGAACUGAGACACGGUCCAGGCUCCUACGGGAGGCAGCAGUAGGGAAUCUUCCGCAAUGGGCGAAAGCCUGACGGAGCAACGCCGCGUGAGUGAUGAAGGUCUUCGGAUCGUAAAACUCUGUUAUUAGGGAAGAACAUAUGUGUAAGUAACUGUGCACAUCUUGACGUUACCUAAUCAGAAAGCCACGGCUAACUACGUG
rnacentral:rRNA from 1 species